UUUAAGAUGCCUGAAAAAGGACUAUCUUGAUAGGGUAGUAUAUAAAUUUACAUUUUCUUAAAG
rnacentral:tRNA from 1 species